AACGAAUCUUCCCCAAUGCGCGAAAGCGUGAGGGAGCGACGCCGCGUGCGGGACGAAGUCCUUCGGGAUGUAAACCGCUGUCAGGGGAUACCAAGUUCUGAGGAUCCCCAGAGGAAGAGGCGGCUAACUCUGUGCCAGCAGCCGCGGUAAGACAGAGGCCUCGAGCGUUAGGCGGAAUCACUGGGCUUAAAGCGUGUGUAGGCGGGCCCGUCAGUGUCUUGUGAAAUCCCACGGCUCAACCGUGGAACCGCUGGGCAUACUGCGGGUCUUGGGCCAACUAGGGGCAGCCGGAACAAGCGGUGGAGCGGUGAAAUGCGUAGAUAUCGCUUGGAACGCCGAAGGUGAAAACAGGCUGCUGGGGUUGCGCCGACGCUGAGACACGAAAGCCAGGGGAGCGAAC
rnacentral:rRNA from 1 species